AUUGAACGCUGGCGGAAUGCUUUACACAUGCAAGUCGAGCGGCAGCGCGGCCUUCGGGCUGGCGGCGAGCGGCGAACGGGUGAGUAAUGCAUCGGAACAUGCCCAGUCGUGGGGGAUAACACUUCGAAAGAAGUGCUAAUACCGCAUACGUCCUGAGGGGGAAAGCGGGGGAUCGCAAGACCUCGCGCGAUUGGAGUGGCCGAUGUCAGAUUAGCUAGUUGGUGGGGUAAAGGCCUACCAAGGCGACGAUCUGUAGCUGGUCUGAGAGGAUGAUCAGCCACACUGGGACUGAGACACGGCCCAGACUCCUACAGGAGGCAGCAGUGGGGAAUUUUGGACAAUGGGGGCAACCCUGAUCCAGCCAUUCCGCGUGAGUGAAGAAGGCCUUCGGGUUGUAAAGCUCUUUCGGCAGGAACGAAACGGUGGGCUCUAACAUAGUCCGCUAAUGACGGUACCUGAAGAAGAAGCACCGGCUAACUACGUG
rnacentral:rRNA from 1 species